rnacentral:rRNA from 1 species
UACGUAGGUCCCGAGCGUUGUCCGGAUUUAUUGGGCGUAAAGCGAGCGCAGGUGGUUUAUUAAGUCUGGUGUAAAAGGCAGUGGCUCAACCAUUGUAUGCAUUGGAAACUGGUAGACUUGAGUGCAGGAGAGGAGAGUGGAAUUCCAUGUGUAGCGGUGAAAUGCGUAGAUAUAUGGAGGAACACCGGUGGCGAAAGCGGCUCUCUGGCAUGUAACUGACACUGAGGCACGAAAGUGUGGGGAGCAAACAGG